GGCUGAGCGGUAAAGCGCUUGGCUUCCGAACCGGGGUUCCAGGUUCGAAUCCUGG
rnacentral:tRNA from 1 species